rnacentral:lncRNA from 1 species
GGUUGUUUCCUUGGGAUAAGUUAAAUAAAUAGACUCUCAAAAUAUUGUUAAACGUGUUUCAACAUUAGGGAGCAUUUCAGAAGACCUCAGAUGCCUUAGAGAAAACACAAGCAUAACACAAUAACAAUUUUCAGAUUUCUUCAUGUUGAAGAGCAGGUUUUGGAUGUGCCAAGAGAUUUAACCAGAAGGAGAAGUGCAGCUGCUCUCGCAGGGGGAGACGUGCCCUACAGUAAAUUCUAACAUUUGGUUAGAGUGGAACCAACUCAGUUACUAGUGAAAAUUAAUGGAAAACACCUGUCACCAAAUUCCUCCUUGUCGCCUUAAACAAGAGGGCUCACCAGUUCACUGAGGAAUUAAUCUGCAAUGAAUUAAACAUGAGGAAGGUGCAAAAUGCAUACCCAAAUGCUUAUGUGAGGUGACUUUUGCAUUGGGAUUUAGGACAACUUUUGAAAAAGGAAGAAAUUUCAGACUUAGACUCUGGGGAGCAUUGAUCUGUAAUUUUAGCAUUCC